GGGCCUCCAGCAUCAGCCUGACAGUGGAGCAUGCACUGGAGAGCUUCAGCUUCCUCAACACUUCAGACAUGGAGGACUCCGAGGGCUCUGAGGAAGAGCCUCUCCAAGACGAGAGGAGGGCUGGCAGACCGCAGCAUAGCAGCAGGGCCCCCAGCGCUGGCGAGGACUGGUGCAGACAACACUGGCAUGUUGCAGUGGCUCUGAGGCCAGCACCGACCCCCUGAGCACUGGCAAUGAGUUCCUGGAUAAGGCCCUGGUGCUUCACCUCAACAACUGCAAACCGCCUGCUGCUGAAACUGGGCACCUUCGGUCCCCUGCGGUGCCAGGAGAUGUACGCCCUGGACAGGCUGCUGCGGGAGGCACAGGUUCUGGAGAUCGUGGUGUCAGCUCAUGGAGGAGCGAGCGGGAGCAGCUGCCUCUGCC